UUUCAUAGUUUCAAAUCUUCUAGGCGACAUUGAUGUUUCAUUUCGAAGAUUAUGUUAAAUUAGAAAAUUAUGUUCAGAUUAUGUUUAAUGUGUGCUAAUAUAUAACAUGAAGAUAACUAAAAUAACAGUAAGUAGCAAAUAAUGUAUUAUCAUCGAUUUUCGUUAAUAACUAAAAAAUACCUCCGUCUUUCUAUUUUCCCAAACAUAUUAUUUCCAAAAAUAAAAAUAUCCUACGCACGGCGUAUGCAAUACAUAUAUAAGGCGCUCCAACUUAUUGUUCAUUUCCUGGGAGUUCUGUGACAGCCGAUUGCGUGAAAGUAGAGAAGGCAUAUAAGUAUGUAUAUCUAGAUAUAUGUGCAUACAAACAGUAUACAACAUAAGAUGCUACAGAAAAGGUAAAUAUUACGGAAGGCAGAAGAAAGACCGAAAUAUCGAUAGAGCGAUGGUUCAAAAGCGUUUCAGAUACAAAAGGAACAGUUUCGAUUGUAUGUAUAUUAUUAUAGUAUAUUAAAUAUAUAUAAAUAUAUACGUGUAUACGUAUAUAUUAUCGUCCAUAAGAAGUGUUUGUCCUAUCUAGCAAUACACUUUAUGAACACACAUUUUUGUGAAUGAUAAUUAUACGUGUAAUAUAUAGAAUAGUUACUGUAUUAAGCGUAACAAAAUAUAUAUAUUCGCGGUUUAAAAGAAUAUAUUAACACGUUGACUGCCAUGCAGAUUUUAUUUAUUUUAUUCUGGAAAUCGCAAUAGAUUGAAAUAUACUAUAUCAUAACAUUUAUUUUUUGGAAAAUAUUAUAUUAUAUCUGUUCAGGUCUUUCUGACAAUUGUUAUCAAAACCAUUCGCGUCGUUGACAAUUUUUUGGUUCAUGAAAUGUACGUUAUUUUAAUCAUUCUACGAAGUUUAAUAAAACGUAGCUCACUGAUGACUAUCGUGGCAACAAACGUGUUAACGUGUAUCUCCUGUCAGAUAUUAUAUAUAUGAUUCAAACUUAAAAUAUUAUUCAGUAUAUAUAUGUGUGUGUGUAUAUCAAUACGUACGGUCCUACUGUUGUAUAGAAUUCAAUAUUGAAGGAAUAAUAACAAUUUCUAGGUUCUUCAAUAUCUGUGCAAUUUCGUGCACAU